rnacentral:ncRNA from 1 species
UUGAAAUGUUUAUUUUAAUAUUAAUCUAUAUGUAAAUCAUUGUAUAAUUUUAUUUCUUAAGGAAAUAAGAUAAUGAUAAAUUAUUGCAGUGGAUAAUUUUAUAAAUAUUAAGUUAAUUUAGAUUUAGUAAAUAUUAUUAGGUUUAGAUAAAGUUGUGCCAGCAUCUGCGGUUAGACAAUAAAAUCAAGUAAAUAUUAUUAGUUUUUAAGUAAUUAAUAUAAUAUAAUAAAUAGGAAUUAAAAUAUUUUUAGGUGAAAUAUUAAAUUAUUUUAAAUAAUAUUAAUUUAUUAGUAUGAUUAAUUAUGAAAGUGAAAUUAUAAACUAGGAUUAGAUACCCUAUUAUUUUUAUUGUAAAGGAAGUUAAACUGGAGUAUUAAUAGUUAUGAUCUUAAAACUUAAAGAAUUUGGCGGUAUUAUAAUCUAUUUAGAGGAAUCUGUUAUGUAAUUGAUAUUCCACAUUGAACCUUACUUAAAUUAUUUCUUGUAUAUCGCUGUUUAAGAAUAUAUUUAAAGAUAAUUUUCUAAAUAUGUAAUUAAUUAGAAUUUCAAGUCAAGGUGCAGUAAUAUUUAAGUUGAAUAAUGGAUUACAAUAAAUUUUAUUUAUAAUGGAUUAAUUAUUGAAAUGUAAUAAUGAAAUUGGAUUUAAUAGUAAUUUUAUAAAGAUUAUUAAAAUGAUUUUAGUUCUAUAAUAUGUACAUAUCGCCCGUCACUCUCAUUAUAAAAUGAGAUAAGUCGUAACAGAGUAGGUGUAUCGGAAGAUGUACCUAGAAAGGAAAAUA